UACGUAGGGGGCAAGCGUUGUCCGGAAUUAUUGGGCGUAAAGCGCGUGUAGGCGGCCCGGUAAGUCCGCUGUGAAAGUCAAAGGCUCAACCUUUGAAUGUCAGCGGAUACUGCCGGGCUAGAGUCCGGAAGAGGCGAGUGGAACUCCUGGUGUAGCGGUGGAAUGCGCAGAUAUCAGGAAGAACACCGGUGGCGAAGGCGGCCUGCUGGGCAGUAGCUGACGCUGAUGCGCGACAGCGUGGGGAGCAAACAGG
rnacentral:rRNA from 1 species